rnacentral:rRNA from 1 species
AUGCAGAUGGACCUGCGGUGCAUUAGCUGGUUGGAGAGGUAACGGCUCACCAAGGCGACGAUGCAUAGCCGGCCUGAGAGGGCGGACGGCCACACUGGGACUGAGACACGGCCCAGACUCCUGCGGGAGGCAGCAGUAGGGAAUUUUCGUCAAUGGGGGGAACCCUGAACGAGCAAUGCCGCGUGAGCGAGGAAGGUCUUCGGAUCGUAAAGCUCUGUUGCCGGGGACAAAAGGCAGAAAGAGUGGAAAGCUUUCUGAGUGAUGGUACCCGGCGAGGAAGUCACGGCUAACUACGUGCCAGCAGCCGCGGUAAU